GGUGGGUACAGCUCAGUGGUAGAGUACAUGCCUGCCGUGCAUGAGGUCCUGGGUUCGAUCCCCAGUACCCCCA